rnacentral:rRNA from 1 species
UAAUACGAGGGGUGCAAGCGUUAUUCGGAUUUACUGGGCGUAAAGGGUGUGUAGACGGUUUAUUAAGUCUGUUGUUAAAUACUCUGGCUUAACUGGAGAUCAGCAGUGGAAACUAGUAAACUAGAGGGUGGGAGAGAGAAGUGGAAUUCCCGGAGUAGCGGUAAAAUGCGUAGAUCUCGGGAGGAACACCGAUGGCGAAGGCAGCUUCUUGGCCCAUACCUGACGUUGAGACACGAAAGCGUGGGGAGCAAACAGGAUUAGAUACCCUGGUAGUCCACGCUGUAAACGCUAAUCACUAGACGUUAGUCCAGCCAAGCUGGAUUAGUGUCGUAGCUAACGCGUUAAGUGAUUCGCCUGGGGACUACGAUCGCAAGAUUA